GAUGAACGCUAGCGGCAGGCUUAAUACAUGCAAGUCGUGGGGCAGCAGGGGUGUAGCAAUACAUCUGCUGGCGACCGGCAAACGGGUGCGUAACACGUACGCAACCUUCCCGUUACUGUGGCAUAGCCCAGGGAAACUUGGAUUAAUACCACAUAUUAUAUAGAGAGGGCAUCCUUUUAUAUCAAAGCUUCGGCGGUAACGGAUGGGCGUGCGGUUGAUUAGGUAGUUGGCGGGGUAACGGCCCACCAAGCCUACGAUCAAUACCUGAUUGGAGGACAGGAUGAGCCGCAGGGGCACUAGGACACGGGCCCGACGCCUACGGGAGGCAGCAGUAAGGAAGAUUGGGCAAUGGGCGGAAGACGGACCCAGCCAUGCCGCGUGAAGGAUUAAGGUCCUCUGGAUUGUAAACUUCUUUUCUCUGGGGCGAAAACCAGCUAUUCUUAGCUAUUUGACAGUACCAGAGGAAUAAGCACCGGCUAACUCCGUGCCAGCCGCCGCCGUAAUAC
rnacentral:rRNA from 1 species